rnacentral:rRNA from 1 species
UACCAGCACCCCGAGUGGUCGGGACGAUUAUUGGGCCUAAAGCAUCCGUAGCCGGUCCUACAAGUCUUCCGUUAAAUCCACCUGCUUAACAGAUGGGCUGCGGAAGAUACUAUAGGGCUAGGAGGCGGGAGAGGCAAGCGGUACUCAGUGGGUAGGGGUAAAAUCCUCUGAUCCAUUGAAGACCACCAGUGGCGAAGGCGGCUUGCCAGAACGUGCUCGACGGUGAGGGAUGAAAGCUGGGGGGAGCAAACCGG